rnacentral:rRNA from 1 species
UUGAACGCUGGCGGCAGGCCUAACACAUGCAAGUCGAGCGGAUGAAGGGAGCUUGCUCCUGGAUUCAGCGGCGGACGGGUGAGUAAUGCCUAGGAAUCUGCCUGGUAGUGGGGGAUAACGUCCGGAAACGGGCGCUAAUACCGCAUACGUCCUGAGGGAGAAAGUGGGGGAUCUUCGGACCUCACGCUAUCAGAUGAGCCUAGGUCGGAUUAGCUAGUUGGUGGGGUAAAGGCCUACCAAGGCGACGAUCCGUAACUGGUCUGAGAGGAUGAUCAGUCACACUGGAACUGAGACACGGUCCAGACUCCUACGGGAGGCAGCAGUGGGGAAUAUUGGACAAAGGGCGAAAGCCUGAUCCAGCUAUGCCGCGUGUGUGAAGAAGGUCUUCGGAUUGUAAAGCACUUUAAGUUGGGAGGAAGGGCAGUAAGUUAAUACCUUGCUGUUUUGACGUUACCAACAGAAUAAGCACCGGCUAACUUCGUG